UCCCUGGUGGUCCAGUAGUUAAGACUCUGUGCUUCCACUGCAGGGGGCACAGGUUCGAUCCCUGGUCAGGAAC
rfam:TPA: Bos taurus chromosome 7, whole genome shotgun sequence.